rnacentral:rRNA from 1 species
AACGAACGCUGGCGGCAUGCCUAACACAUGCAAGUCGAACGAGACCUUCGGGUCUAGUGGCGCACGUGUGCGUAACGCGUGGGAACCUGCCCUUAGGUUCGGAAUAACUCCCCGAAAGGGGUGCUAAUACCGGAUAAUGUCUUCGGACCAAAGAUUUAUCGCCUUUGGAUGGGCCCGCGUUGGAUUAGCUAGUUGGUAGGGUAAAAGCCUACCAAGGCGACGAUCCAUAGCUGGUCUGAGAGGAUGCUCAGCCACACUGGGACUGAGACACGGCCCAGACUCCUACGGGAGGCAGCAGUGGGGAAUAUUGGACAAUGGGCGAAAGCCUGAUCCAGCAAUGCCGCGUGAGUGAUGAAGGCCUUAGGGUUGUAAAGCUCUUUUACCCGGGAUGAUAAUGACAGUACCGGGAGAAUAAGCUCCGGCUAACUCCGUG